GUGGAUAAAAAAAAAAAAAAAGAAAAGAAAAGAAAAACUACAAAGUGACUCCACGAGGGAAAAGUAGAAAGCUACAUAAUAAAUACAGUGCGUAUUAAUGCUACAAUAAGUCUCCGUCUGAAGCAUUUAACUUGGAGCGACAACCUAGACCUGAUUCCGACUGUUACAGAAAAAGGUGGGAGGCACCCACGGAGUGUUACUCUGCACUGAGGAGAAAAACACCAGCAACGGCAGAUAAGAAACAUUUCCCGACCAACACUCAUGUACAUCGAAGAUAAACCUGACAUUUGGUUACCCAGAUGAAUCAUAGAUGAUAGUCUGGGACCGGCUCUUGAAUUCUCUGUGGGAUUUUUGUAUCUCCAAAGACCUGAGCUUAUUAUAGUGAUGGUGCGUUAAACCAUCUAAGAUCAACUAUUUUACGAUAACAUAUCAACUCCUUUCAUCCUUUCCUAAAGGUAAAGAAUUAAAAGGAUAAACUUUCUGAGUUUUUUUUUUCAACUUCUGUAUGAACGUCUAUUUAAAGCUAAGUGAAAACUGCACUUUUUGGCAGAGCAAGAUUGCAAUUGUUGAAAAAACAUGCAGAUAUGGACCUGGAUAAUUUAAUAAGGCAACCGGUCUGAGCAGUUGUACUACAAAUAUGUCAUCAGUUAGACCACAUCUCCAGUGGAGAGGGUGCAGUCCUUCAAAUAUCUUGGUGUCCACAUCUCCUCAGACCUGACAUGGGCUGCCCACAUUCAGGUCCAGACCAAGAAGGCUAGGCAGCGCCU